rnacentral:lncRNA from 1 species
ACGUGAUGCCAAGAGUUCGAGACCAGCCUGCCCAACACAUUGAAACUUCGUCUCUACUGAGAAUACAAAAAUUAGCCGGGUGUGGUGGCACACGCCUGCAGUCCCAGCUACAUGGAAAGCUGAGGCAGGAGAAGGGCUUGAACCCGGGAGGCGGAAGUUGCAGUGAACCGAGAUCACACCACUGCACUCCAGCCUGGGCAGCAGAGCUAGACUCCUUCAAAAAAAAAAAAAAAAUCCCCAAGGACAAACAAAACCACCAAAAACAACUCCUUAGCUUAAGAGAUUCUCCCGCCUUGGCCUCACAAAAUGCUGAGAUUACAAACGUAGGCCACCGCGACCGGCAAGGGCCGAUCUUCAUAUCGUAGCCGCCAACACCUACUUGAGCGCGGCCACAGAGAAGGCCGCUGCGCUUCUUGGAGACGGCUAAGUCAUUAGUGAUGAACUCACAUACCGGAGGGGCCUGGACAUCUUGCACUUCACUGCAACUUCGGACUUGCAACCUUUUUCUUUACUUCAGUCUUUGACUUGGGAGAUAGACCAGGAGUCACGGCAUGUACAGUUUCGGACAUGAUUGUAGGUUUGGAUAUCUAACAGUUAAAAAAAAAAAAAGUCAGGCUGCGAGUGUGUCUGUGAUUACGUGUGUGUCACACACAGACACGCUGCGCGCUGAUUGGUUCCCAGCUCAGUCUUUCAGCUUGGCAGCAACCUAGUCUCAACCCUGUUUCUGAGUUGUGUUUGCGGAAAUUCAGAAAAUCAAAAUAGUUUAAAUUUCCUGAGGAGGAAUCACACCAAUUCUAUUCUACAAUGAACUGGAACGGCUACGGUGUUAUGAUCUUUACAUUUUCUUUCUCUAGUUUUUACUUAAGGCAGCCUCGGCCUUUAUCAAAAGUUCCAACUUUCAGAGAUUCACAGUUCAGAGGGACAACUUCUUGAUUUUCAUUUAAAAUAUAAAUUCUUCCAUUCGUGUCUUCAAUUGUUUGCUGUCUUCUAAUAAUAGCCUACACAUUUUUGGCUUCUCAUACAUUGAACAACUACUUGAUUUUCAUUGAGAUUUAACGAGGAAAUCUGUUUUAUAUGAGAAGAGAAACAACAGGUUCUUUUUGAAUUUCUCCACAAGAACAGCAGUACGGAUACUUAGAACAACAGCCCUUUCUGAUAAAAUUAGCUGGGGCUGAAAAUAUUUCAUGAUAGCUUCUUGUAACUAUUUGGACGUUUAGUUACUUUGGGAGGGUUCCAGUAAAUGUUCAACGUUUCCUUGGGAAAAUGGGAAAUACAAUGAUCACUGAUUCUCCUGAUAUUGGGACUGUUUGCAUAGCUGAACUCAGGAGAGAUCCACGAAAGGACAUAAAAGAGACAGAGUUUGACUCAUUUAAGGGUCAAAAAAAAAUUUUUUUUUUAAAUUUUUACUGGGGGAAAUUUGUUAUUAAAAUAUUCAUGAGUCUUUGGGUUCAGGGGUCUGUCAUGCUUGGUGACACGGGGAAAAUAGACUUUGGUAAACUAUUCAAGUACCAGGAUCAAAGAAUAUACACACAAGCACCACACACACACAAAAUUCCCUAGAGAGAGAAAUUUAAAAAACAGCCAUGUUUCAUAUUCAGUACUACAUUUCUUGUUUAAACAAGGAUAUAGGCUUAUAGUGAUGAAGUACAGCUUAUGUUCGAUAUGAGAAGAAAAUGGAGUGAUGGCAGAAAGUGAAUUAACUGAUUUUCUUCACUCCUCAAUGUCUUGAACGUAUGCUGAUCUGGGGAGCAUAUACAUUUCUGUUUUACUAAGACUAUGAAGGAGAUAAAUGCUGGGAACAGACAGAGUAAAGCCCAAAAGGUGAGGGUUUCACACUUUUUGAUCUCAUCAAAAUACAAAUGACU